rnacentral:rRNA from 1 species
GGGUUAAGUCCCGACACGAGCGCAACCCUUGCCUUUAGUUGCCAGCAGUUCGGCUGGGCACUCUAAAGGGACUGCCGGUGUUAAACCGGAGGAAGGUGGGGAUGACGUCAAGUCCUCAUGGCCUUUAUGACCAGGGCUACACACGUACUACAAUGGCCGAUACAAAGGGCAGCGACACUGCGAGGUGAAGCCAAUCCCGUAAAUCGGUCUCAGUCCGGAUUGGAGUCUGCAACUCGACUCCAUGGAGUUGGAAUCGCUAGUAAUCGUGGAUCAGCAUGCCACGGUGAAUACGUUCCCGGGCCUU